AGCGUGAGCGAAAGUUGAAAAGAACUUUGGAGAGAGAGUUAAAUAGUACCUGAAGCCGCUGCGAGGAAAGGGAUGGACAACCAUCAACUGCACCACACGGUAUGGUCAGGGCAACCUGUUCCACUCCGUUGCAGCCAUGAACCGUUUUGAGUGUAGUCUUUUUCUCCCCUGUUAGGGCCUCCUCGUGGGGAUUCCAAUUAGGGAGCUAGGACCUUCUCGGGACGGAUAUCCGCACCCUCAUGGUUACGUCGAAGCCGCGAGUACAACCUCAAACGUAUUCGGGUGGUUGGAGGCUUGCUUCCAGUCACCUGCUGCGUUUGGACUGUUUCUGGUUAGACGGUGUGCUAUGUUGGGAUCAUGGUAGGGCCUUCGGGCCACGAUGGUGUUCACCCGCCCGUCUUGAAACACGGACCAAGGAGUCUAACGAGUGUGCGAGUUUUUUGGUGAGCGAAACCAACAAGCGAACUUAACGGGAAGCGUUCCUCGGGGACGUUUGGUGUGAUGGGAGUUCUCGGAUUCCUUGCAACACCGGCCGGUGCACUUUGAUGUAAGGUGUAUCCGAGCUUAAGCACACAUGUUGGGACCCGAAAGGUGGUGACCUAUGCCUGAACAGGACGAAGCCGAGGGAAACCUGGGUGGAGGUCCGUAGCGAUGUUGACGUGCAAAUCGCUCGCCAGAUUUGGGUAUAGGGGCGAAAGACUCAUCGAACCACCUAGUAGCUGGUUCACCCCGAAGUUUCCCUCAGGAUAGCUGGUGACAUGCACAGUCGUGUGCGGUAAAGCAAAUGAUUAGAGGCAUUGGCGUUCUUUUAUGUCGACCUAUUCUCAAACUUUAAAUGUGCACGAAGAUUAGCUUGCUUUAGUGAAGCUGGUCAGUGGAUCUUGUCACCAAGUGGGCCUUUUUCGGUAAGCGGAACAGGCGAUGCGGGAUGCUCCGCAUGUGAAGUUACGGCGCCUAAGUGCAAGCUCAUAUAGAUACCAUUAAGGGUGUUGGUUCAUAAAGACAGCAGGACGGUGGCCAUGGAAGUCGGAAUCCGCUAAGGAGUGUGUAACAACUCACCUGCCGAAUGAACUGGCCCCGAAAAUGGAUGGCGCUUAAGCUUGCCGCCUAAACUUCACCGGAACUGUUAGGAUCGGACAGCGGACGAGCAUAUACAGUUCCGUGUAGGGGUGUAUGGAGGAAAAGCGGCGAAGCAUAUGGCGUGAGCCUUUGUGGAGCUUCCUCCAGUGCAGAUCUUGGUUGUAGUAGCGAAUAUUCAACUGCGGAUUUCCGCGAUGGAUCGUUGAAGGCUGAAGUGGGGAAGGGUUUCGUGUCAACGGCGAUCGGACACGAGUCACUCGGUACUGAGCGCAACGUUGGACCGCAACUGUGGAAGGGGAAAAUGGUGGCACAAGGUUCGCUGUUGUUGCCAUCCUUCCGUUUGCGCUACAGAGAAGCAGGCUUAACACUCCUGCAGCUGACCAUGGGGAACUUAGAAGCGGUAACGCAUGCAGACGAUACUGGUGACAGGGUGAGCUGAGCCCGGAAGAGUUCUCUUUUCUUUUGAAUGGGGAUAUCAACCAUGGAGUUCGCGUCGAGCGGUGCAAUGGUCGGUGCCCCAGCAAAGCCGUGCACUUGUGUGCGGUAGGGUUCACUGCUCACACUUGUGAAAAAACCAGUGGAAGUCAUUUUUCCCUCAUGGCAGGCCGUACCAAUAACCGCAUCCGGUCCCCGAGCUCAAAAGGCUCUAGCCAAUAGAGAAAGGUAGUCUAAGGGAAGUCGGCAAAUUAAAUGCGUAUGCUCGCGAUAAGCAUUGGCUCUGAAGGCAAGGCCGCUGAAAGCCAACUAGACUGCUGGGUUCAGCGUCUCUUACCAGAAUCUUUCUGCACCUGAUGCCCCUUUCGGGGGGAAGUCGGUGUGCAGUCUGCCGAAGGUUUGAGAAGCUCCAGCGUCUUCGCCUUCGGGUGAUGUUGGAACCACUUUCACGGCAAUAAAUUGCCAAUUCAGAACUGCUUACCGAGGGGAAUCCAACUGUAUAAUUAAAACACAGGAUUGCGAAGCAUCCAAGUGGUGUUUUACGCGAUCUGAUUUCUGCCCAGUGCUCUGAAUGUCAAUGUGACGAGAUUCACCUACGCGCGGGUAAACGGCGGGAGUAACUAUGACUCUCUUAAGGUAGCCAAAUGCCUCGUCUUCUAAUUAGAGACGCGCAUGAAUGGAUUAAUGAGAUUCCCACUGUCCCUAGCUACCAUCUAGCGAACCAACUGCGUCAAGGGAACGGUCUUGAAUGAUUAAGCGGGGAAAGAAGACCCUGUUGAGUUUGACUCUAGUCUCAGU
rnacentral:rRNA from 1 species